CAGGUCACAAAGAUGAGACUGAAAGAAGUCUUCUCUUGAACGAUGAUGAUGAUAUAUUGACAGAUGAAGCUGGAAGCUCCACAGCAUCCAAUGAAAAGCUGAGAUUUAUGCUGCUUGGAGGUGAUGAUGUUCUUAUGGAUAAAGCAUGUGCCACAAUCCUGGGAGAAAGAGAGAACAGGGAUGCAUUUAAAUUUGGAGAAUUGAUGCCCAGGAAGGCUCAAGUUUGUGGACGACAGGUUUCUGUAUUAAAAACUCCAUCCUAUUGGCUGGAAUGCUUGAAAUCAUAUUUCUUUUUCAGCAAAGGAGUCAAAUCUUUAAAAUAUGACCUGGAGUUCCCUGAAUCAAUGAUGUUUCCUGGGCCUCAUGCCUUACUGUUUGUACAGAGAGAUGUGAAAAACUCUGGCAAAGAGAAAUGCCUUUUGCAUGCUCUCAUUGAAGUGUUUGGGGAGGAGGUUUUGGACUAUUGCAUGGUAUUAUUUAUAGAUGAGACUGUGCACAAAGAUCAAAAAAAGAACUCCUGUUUGAAGAUGUGUGGAAAUAGACACCACAUUUUACAGAACACUGACGAAAGUGUUUAACAUUUAUUUAAAAAAACAGCGAAAAUGACACAGUGGAAAAGCAGUGUUUUUUUCACAAAUCAUUUGGAGUGUUUCAGAAAAGCUGAAAAUCAUUUUGAAGCUGAGUAUAAGGAAAAGGAAAAUAAACUAAGAAGAAGUUGAAUGAUUC